CCUACGGGGGGCUGCAGUGGGGAAUAUUGGACAAUGGGGGCAACCCUGAUCCAGCCAUGCCGCGUGUGUGAAGAAGGCCCUCGGGUUGUAAAGCACUUUCAGUGAGGAAGAACGCCUGGUGGUUAAUACCCAUCAGGAAAGACAUCACUCACAGAAGAAGCUCCGGCUAACUCCGUGCCAGCAGCCGCGGUAAUACGGAGGGUGCGAGCGUUAAUCGGAAUUACUGGGCGUAAAGCGCGCGUAGGUGGCUUGAUAAGCCGGUUGUGAAAGCCCCGGGCUCAACCUGGGAACGGCAUCCGGAACUGUCAAGCUAGAGUGCAGGAGAGGAAGGUAGAAUUCCCGGUGUAGCGGUGAAAUGCGUAGAGAUCGGGAGGAAUACCAGUGGCGAAGGCGGCCUUCUGGACUGACACUGACACUGAGGUGCGAAAGCGUGGGUAGCAAACAGGAUUAGAUACCCGAGUAGUC
rnacentral:rRNA from 1 species